rnacentral:lncRNA from 1 species
CAGGCCUAGCCUCCCAGCCUGCAUCUUUCACCCCUGCUGGAUGCCUCCUGCCCUUGAACAUCAGACUCCAAGUUCUUCAGUUUUGGGACUGGCUCUCCUUGCUCCUCAGCUUGCAGAGAGCCUAUUGAGCCUAUUGUGGGACCUUGUGAUCGUAAGCUGAGGACCAGAGGAGUGACUCUCGCACAGCGGCUCGGUGCCUGAGCUGGAAUUCCAACCAGGGCUGUCGCCCUCUAAAGCCCUGCCAUGGCAGUGCUGCCAGCUCACUCUCCUUGGGCUCCCUUCCCACCUCCCACAUCCCCAUGUCCCCAUGGACUCCUGGUGCCACGGCACAGCUGCAUGGGGGUGAUUCAUGCUGGACACCUGAGACACAAGGAGAGGAGGCAGGGAGCUGCCGAAAGAGGUUCAGUUAAAAACUUCCAACAAUGAGGGAGUGAGUUACCAACUUUCAGGAAGCCUUGUUUGGGUCCCAGCCCUUUUCCCUUUGGGUAUAAUUUGUUGGUAUGACACUGAACUAACACAUUGCAUCUCGAGCUGCUCCCUGCUGAGCUCUGGAGCCCACUAAGGGAUGAAAGCAGCUCCUCCUUAGGCCUUUUGUUGUGGCUUUUUCUCUUUUUGGCCAACAGGAGACAGGAAUUUGGGAAUUAUGCAGAUGGG